AAAAGAUUAUAAUAUUAGUUGGAGGUGACUUACUAAUUUCAAACUCAUAAUUAUUAGCCAAAACCUUCUUAGCUAGCUAAUUCUUCUAUAAAAACCGUUUGAGUCUCUUCUUUCUUCUCCACACACACCCAACAUAUAUAGCAUCCAGGUUAUUUGGUGAGCACCUUUUUUUUUUAAGCAUAUUUGAUACUAAAUUAACUAGAGGCAAGAGGUGGAAAAGUUGUAUAUUUGUCCAAAAUGAGGCUUAUGGUAAUUGCACUUGUGAUUGUGCUGCUAGCAAGCUCUUGUAAUGCAAAUGAUAAAAGAAAUUUAGUGUCCACAAUUUCUGAAAACCAGCAAGGCAUGAAAGGAGAUCACAAAGUCAUUAACCAGAAUAUUCAUCACCGGAUCCCGAUCCCUCAAAAGAGCUUCGACAAACCCGAUGGAUCUAGCCAGUUUGGUGUCACUGACGAUAACGAUCAUCAUUACAUCCCUCGUAAGGAUUAUGGCACACAUCCUGGCCAUGAAUAAAAUCGGCCCACGGAGAUGAAAAAUAUAUGUAUAGUAAGUUGCAAUGUUUGAUUAUGGUUGUUUGUAAUAUAGAAUAAGACAUCAUUUAUGAUAUUUGUACGUGUGCCGUUGUUGUUUAGGCGAAUUUCACUAUGAUGAUUUCAUAGGUGGUCCAUGUUAGACCGGCCGUUGAAAAUUGUUUGAAAAUCCAAUGACAAAUUGACGAUAGACA